UAAAAACCCCGACUUCGGAAGGGGUGUAUUUAUUAGAUACAAAACCAAUGCCCUUCGGGGCUCUUUGGUGAUUCAUGAUAACUAUACGAAUCGCACGGCCUUGCGCCGGCGAUGGUUCAUUCAAAUUUCUUCCCUAUCAACUUUCGAUGUUUGGGUAUUGGCCAAACAUGGUUGCAACGGGUAACGGAGGGUUAGGGCUCGACCCCGGAGAAGGAGCCUGAGAAACGGCUACUACAUCCAAGGAAGGCAGCAGGCGCGCAAAUUACCCAAUCCCGACUCGGGGAGGUAGUGACAAUAAAUACUGAUACAGGGCCCUUUCGGGCCUUGUAAUUGGAAUGAGUACAAUUUAAAUCCCUUAACGAGGAACAAUUGGAGGGCAAGUCUGGUGCCAGCAGCCGCGGUAAUUCCAGCUCCAAUAGCGUAUAUUAAAGUUGUUGUGGUUAAAAAGCUCGUAGUUGAACCUUGGGCCUGGCUGGCCGGUCCGCCUCACCGCGUGCACCGGUCCGGCCGGGCCUUUCCCUCUGGGUAACACCCUACUCUUCGAACCUUGGGGGUGGGGAAACGGUACACCUAACC
rnacentral:rRNA from 1 species